rnacentral:rRNA from 1 species
UACGAGGGGGGCUAGUGUUGUUCGGAAUCACUGGGCGUAAAGGGAGCGUAGGCGGGCUUUCAAGUUAGGUGUUUAAUCCCGGGGCCCAACCCCGGACAGGCACUUAAAACUGGGAGUCUUGAAUAGUGGAGAGGUCAGUGGAAUUAGAGGUGUAGCGGUGGAAUGCGUAGAGAUCUCUAAGAACACCAGUUGCGAAGGCGGCUGACUGGACACAUAUUGACGCUGAGGCUCGAAAGCAUGGGGAGCAAACAGG